rnacentral:siRNA from 1 species
UUGCAUCCAAGUAAUUGAAGUUGC